UCCAGACUCCUACGGGAGGCAGCAGUGAGGAAUAUUGGUCAAUGGUCGGGAGACUGAACCAGCCAAGCCGCGUGAGGGAGGAAGGUACAGAGUAUCGUAAACCUCUUUUGUCAGGGAACAAAGACUGGGACGCGUCCCCGGAUGAGUGUACCUGAAGAAAAAGCAUCGGCUAACUCCGUGCCAGCAGCCGCGGUAAUACGGAGGAUGCGAGCGUUAUCCGGAUUUAUUGGGUUUAAAGGGUGCGCAGGCGGAGGUGCAAGUCAGCGGUCAAAUUGCGGGGCUCAACCCCGUACUGCCGUUGAAACUGCAUCCCUUGAGUGCGCGAGAAGUAUGCGGAAUGCGUGGUGUAGCGGUGAAAUGCAUAGAUAUCACACAGAACACCGAUUGCGAAGGCAUCUCACGAAUCCGCGAUUGACGCUGAUGCACGAAAGCGUGGGUAUCAAACAGGAUUAGAUACCCCUGUA
rnacentral:rRNA from 1 species